UCUCUUUUGAAUGGCCGCGGUAUUUUGACCGUGCGAAGGUAGCAUAAUCAUUAGUUUUUUAAUUGAAAGCUUGUAUGAAUGGUUGGACGAGAUGAAUGCUGUCUCUUUUUAAUAAUUAGAAUUUUAUUUUUAAGUAAAAAAGCUUAAAUUUUUUUAAAAGACGAGAAGACCCUAUAAAGCUUUAUAUUUUAAUAUUAUAAAAUUUUUUAUUUGGUUUUGUAUUAUUGAUUUAUUAGAUUGGGGAAAUUUAAAGAUUUGAUUAAUUCUUUAUUGUUAAUUUCAUUGAUUUAUGUUUAUUUGAUCCUUUAUUAUGGAUUUUAAGAUUAAGUUACUUUAGGGAUAACAGCGUAAUUUUUCUGGAGAGUUCUUAUCGAUAGGAGAGUUUGCGACCUCGAUGUUGGAUUAAAAUUAAUUUUAGGUGUAGAAGUUUAUAAAAUUUGGUCUGUUCGACCAUUAAAAUUUUA
rnacentral:rRNA from 1 species